AUGAGUCAAAGAAGUAGAAUAUGGACAGAAAUGGCGGCUACAUCCUCUUUAACACAAGACAGAAUGACAAAAGCCAAGAAGUUCAAUAAAAAUUACAUGUUGCUAUGGAAACAUGAAAAAUCACAGAUACCUGCUCUACUCAGAGGACAAAAAAGGGAAGACCUGCGCCUACAGACUAGGAAAGGUUUUCUGACGGUGAGAGCAUCUCAGCGUGGAGUGGGCCUCGUUUCCGAGAGGACACAGUCUCCGGAGACCAAGCAUCGGGGGCACUUUGCAUAUGACCCAAGGUUGAGUCUUCCUUGACACGAAGACAGUGGUCGCAGUCGAGAAUAUUUUGCGGAGAACUUUAAAAGUAUCAUUCUCAAGGUUAAAAAUUGCUGUUCUACAUAAUACCUCGGUAAUUGAUAGACAUUUUCUCUCUCCAGAGUCCAGUUUCUGUGAAAAACACCACGUAACAUCUGUUCAUAAACAGUCCUUCUGUGAAAACACUGACACAGGUCUUGAGCUUAUACGGGCUCAAUUCCCCUGCCAGGUGCAGAUGGCACGAUGUAUUUAUACAGCUGAAGCCCGCGGAACAGAAGCCCGGCCCGAUCUCCAGGUAGGACUGCAGGCCAGCCUGUGCUGCUGCUCGCAGGCCUCACCCCCAGCUUGUUCAAGGGGUUCCUUCUGACACAAAGACAAAUUGUUUCCCACUAAUGUGUGGGAUGCGUCGGGGAAAAAAAAAAUCACCUUCGGCAAGGAACGUCCAACUCUACACAGAAAAGGACGUUUUGCAUCUUUUCAAAAGAUUCCAUGGAACACAUUAAUGAAAAACUAAUUAGGUUACAGAGGUAUUUGCGAAACUAAAUAUGACUCAGAUCACGCAGUUGUCUCCUUUUCUUUUUUGGCCUUUAUACUUGAUGUGUGAUGUUUAACUGGAAUUAAUUAUUGCAACUCCAAGGAAAAAGUUUGGGGUGAAGGGUUUAAAUAGUUGACGUUCGACUUUUUAGGAACGAUCACGAGGGGGAAACCGCCGUCCUAAGGAAAGAAAUUAUUUCUCACUUAAUUUUCCGUCAGUUUCUCCCAUUUCACAUGAAAUGGAGAUGGGGACAAGGAUGGAGGAUUUUUGGUUAUUGUUUUUUUUUUUUUUUUAAUUUUUUACUGAGCAUUUGUGGAGAAACACUUAAGAGACUUUCAAAUCCUGGUGAGCUUUUGCUGCAUUUUGAAUCUGGUUUCCUUAUUAAUCACUGAGAUGCUGGUCCUUCAGUUGUCUCUAAAAUUGUUCUUUCUCAAAAGUAGACAGACUUCAAGAGCAAGCAAAGCCGCCUUCUCAUGACCUGGAGAAAUGCUGACUUUAAGUCCAAGCAGGAUACUGGAGCUUCCGAAGGGCCCGGGGCCCCCAAAGAUCACCCAAAUAAACAGAAUGAGGAAG
rnacentral:lncRNA from 12 species